CAAUAGCGUAUAUUUAAGUUGCUGCAGUUAAAAAGCUCGUAGUUGGAUUUCGGGUGGGAAUGGCCGGUCCGCCGUUUCGGUGUGCACUUGCUACGCCCACCUCGCUGCCGGGGACGUGCUCUUGAGUUCACGCUCGGGACACGGAGUCGGCGAGGUUACUUUGAGUAAAUUAGAGUGUUCAAAGCAGGCCUACGCUCUGAAUACAUUAGCAUGGAAUAACACGAUAGGACUCUGGCCUAUCUUGUUGGUCUGUAGGACCGGAGUAAUGAUUAAGAGGGACAGUCGGGGGCAUUCGUAUUUCAUUGUCAGAGGUGAAAUUCUUGGAUUUAUGAAAGACGAACUACUGCGAAAGCAUUUGCCAAGGAUGUUUUCAUUAA
rnacentral:rRNA from 1 species